GACGAACGCUGGCGGCGUGCUUAACACAUGCAAGUCGAACGCUGAAGCUUGGUGCUUGCACUGGGUGGAUGAGUGGCGAACGGGUGAGUAAUACGUGAGUAACCUGCCCUUGACUCUGGGAUAAGCCUGGGAAACUGGGUCUAAUAUUGGAUACGACAUGUCACCGCAUGGUGGUGUGUGGAAAGGGUUUUACUGGUUUUGGAUGGGCUCACGGCCUAUCAGCUUGUUGGUGGGGUAAUGGCUCACCAAGGCGACGACGGGUAGCCGGCCUGAGAGGGUGACCGGCCACACUGGGACUGAGACACGGCCCAGACUCCUACGGGAGGCAGCAGUGGGGAAUAUUGCACAAUGGGCGGAAGCCUGAUGCAGCGACGCCGCGUGAGGGAUGACGGCCUUCGGGUUGUAAACCUCUUUCAGCACGGAAGAAGCGAAAGUGACGGUACGUGCAGAAGAAGCGCCGGCUAACUACGUG
rnacentral:rRNA from 1 species